rnacentral:rRNA from 1 species
UACGUAGGCAGCAAGCGUUGUUCGGAAUUACUGGGCGUAAAGAGUGUGUAGGCGGUGUUCCAAGUCUGGUGUGAAAUCUCCCGGCUUAACUGGGAGGGUGCAUUAGAAACUGGAAUGCUAGAGGAUGGGAGAGGUAAGCGGAAUUCCUGGUGUAGCGGUGAAAUGCGUAGAUAUCAGGAGGAACACCUGUGGUGUAGACAGCUUACUGGACCAUUUCUGACGCUGAGACGCGAAAGCGUGGGGAGCAAACAGG